rnacentral:misc_RNA from 1 species
UCUCCGUAGGUGAACCUUCGGAGGGAUCAUUACUGAGUGAGGGCUUCGGUCCGACCUCCAACCCUUUGUGAACCAAACUUGUUGCUUCGGGGGCGACCCUGCCGACGACUUUGUCGCCGGGCGCCCCCGGAGGCCUUCAAACACUGCAUCUUUGCGUCGGAGUUUAAGUAAAUUAAACAAAACUUUCAACAACGGAUCUCUUGGUUCUGGCAUCGAUGAAGAACGCAGC